UUACGAUCAUAUCACGUUGAAACACCGGUUCACGUAUGAUCAAAGAAAUUAAGAAACUUCUUGCCUGGUCAGUAACUAGAUGGGUGACCUCUUGGGAAUACCACGCGUUGAAA